rnacentral:misc_RNA from 1 species
UAGCGGUGACAUGCGUAGAGAUUAGGAAGAACACCAGUGGCGAAGGCGCUCUACUGCGCAUAUACUGACACUGAGGGACGAAAGCUAGGGGAGCGAAAGGGAUUAGAUACCCCUGUAGUCCUAGCGGUAAACGAUGGAUACUAGGCGUAGUGCUGUUAGAAGGACUGUGCCGAAGCUAACGCGUUAAGUAUCCCGCCUGGGGAGUACGCACGCAAGUGUGAAACUCAAAGGAAUUGACGGGGACCCGCACAAGCGGUGGAGUAUGUGGUUUAAUUCGAUGCAACGCGAAGAACCUUACCAAGGCUUGACAUCCUGCGAAUCUUGGAGAAAUCUGAGAGUGCCUAAGGGAACGCAGAGACAGGUGGUGCAUGGCUGUCGUCAGCUCGUGUCGUGAGAUGUUGGGUUAAGUCCCGCAACGAGCGCAACCCUCGUCCUUAGUUGCCAGCAUUAAGUUGGGGACUCUAGGGAGACCGCCGGGGAGAACUCGGAGGAAGGUGGGGAUGACGUCAAGUCAGCAUGCCCCUUACGUCUUGGGCUACACACGUACUACAAUGGUUGGGACAAAGGGGAGCGAAACCGCGAGGUGGAGCGAAUCUCAUCAAACCCAGCCACAGUUCAGAUUGCAGGCUGAAACUCGCCUGCAUGAAGGAGGAAUCGCUAGUAAUCGCAGGUCAGCAUACUGCGGUGAAUCCGUUCCCGGGUCUUGUACACACCGCCCGUCACACCAUGGAAGUUGGUCACGCCCGAAGUCGUUAUUCUAACCCAAGUGGAAGGAGACGCCGAAGGUGGGACUAGUGACUGGGGUGAAGUCGUAACAAGGUAGCCGUACCGGAAGGUGUGGCUGGAUCACCUCCUUUAAGGGAGACUUCGAGAAGAAGUCAGCAAGGAAAUGGGGAGGGCUAGAAAAAUAAAGAAAGAGGUGUUGGGGCUAUUAGCUCAGGUGGUUAG